AUUCUUUUAGUAUAAUGAGUAUAAUUGACUUCCAAUCAAAAGGUUUAAAAUAAAAAGAAUA
rnacentral:tRNA from 1 species